rnacentral:tRNA from 1 species
AGCCCUGUCGUCUAGCGGCCAAAUAUAAAGGCUAGGGAUAGCAGACUUUGGAUCUGUUGACGGAGGUUCAAAUCCUCCCAGGGCUA